CGCGUAGGCGGCUUGGCAAGUCAGAUGUGAAAUCCCCGAGCUUAACUUGGGAAUUGCAUCUGAUACUGUUGAGCUUGAGUCCUGGAGGGGAUAGCGGAAUUCCCAGUGUAGCGGUGAAAUGCGUAGAUAUUGGGAGGAACACCUGCGGCGAAGGCGGCUAUCUGGACAGUGACUGACGCUGAGGCGCGAAAGCUAGGGGAGCGAACG
rnacentral:rRNA from 1 species